rnacentral:rRNA from 1 species
GACGAACGCUGGCGGCGUGCUUAACACAUGCAAGUCGAACGGAAAGGCCUGCUUUCCCUUGUGGAUUGCGGGUACUCGAGUGGCUAACGGGUGAGUAACACGUGAGUGAUCUGCCCCCAACUUGGGUAUAAGCCUGGGAAACUGGGUCUAAUUCCCGAUAGGACUGCAGGGUGGUGCCUGUGGUGGAAAACGAUUUUCUAGUGGUUGGGGAUGAGCUCGCGGCCUAUCAGCUUGUUGGUGGGGUAAUGGCCUACCAAGGCGGCGACGGGUAGCCGGCCUGAGAGGGUGGACGGCGAGAGUGGGACUGAGAUAUGGCCCAGACUCCUACGGGAGGCAGCAGUGGGGAACAUUGCACGAUGGGCGGAAGCAUGAUGCAGCGGCGCGGCGUGGGGGAUGACGGCCUUCGGGUUGUAAACUCCUUUCGAAAGCGAGGAAGCCACCUGGUUGGAAGGGUGGUGACGGUAGUGGUAGAAGAAGAACCGGCUAACUACGU